UUGACUAGCUUUGGGGCCUCCACCCUGUUGUCACAGGUCCAUGGUGCCCCAUUAUCUGUUUCCCUGUCUUUAUGCAGGAGCCAGCACGGUGUAGGUGCUGUGUUCUCCCCAUGGAAACCAUCUUGUUCAGGGCUUGGAAGGACACAUGGAUGCGGAGCUGAGCAUUGCUGGCUUUAAAGAGCCAAUUGCUGCUGUGAACCUGCCCACCUGAGGGCUGAGGGCCCUGAUAGCUCCAAGACCAACUGGCAAGUUUUCCCAGGUGCAAGGGUAUCUUUAGCCAGCGCCCCUGGGAAACUGUCAAUCACACUCUCCUGGCCCCACCAGGGAUCCAAGAAGGAAGAGAUUUAUGUGGGCAUGCUUUGCCUGACUGCUUACGCCCUGCUUUACCCAGCUUAGUGCUAUUUCUUCUAAUUCCACACAGCAACCCAGGGAGGUGGAAUUCCCUACAGCGGAGAACAGCCAAGGAAUGGCAAGGAUUUUUUUGGCAACCACGGGAAGCUAGAUGGGAAAGGAAGCCUCCUUCCCUGAAGACUUUGAAUGGAGGAUGGCCCUGCCGACACCUUGACUGUGGACUUCUGGCCUUCAGAAUGAGGCAGCAUGCACUUAUAUUGUGCCUCAUUGCCAUCCCAUUCUGCAGAUGAGGAAACCAAGGCUCUGAGGGGCUGGCCAACAGGAGACAUGGUCCAAAGUGGCGGAGCCAAGAGCAAGAACAGCAGCUGCUGUGUUCUGAGCACCUCCUGGAGCCAAGACACGGCCCCGCUUUUAGAGCUCAGAGAGGUGGCUCAGCCUGGAUGGCUGGGCAAACACUCCCAUGGAGAAGUCUGGAGAUGUGGCCAAGGUUUCCUGCAGAGCAAUGAGGCUGGGGAGCUAGGGGGCUCCACUGUAAACCCUGGGGACACAGAACUACAGUUGCCCGUUUCUGCGCACCUACUGUGUGCCUGGCACCAGAGAACAUCUGAAAAGCAGCUCCUAACUCUCAGUGGAAAGGGAUUUAAAGAGGAAAAUAAAUAAAGUGUGAAAGUGCC